CACGUAGUUAGCCGGGGCUUCUUAGUCAGGUACCGUCAUUUUCUUCCCUGCUGAUAGAGCUUUGCAUACCGAAAUACUUCUUCACUCACGCGGCGUCGCUGCAUCAGGGUUUCCCCCAUUGUGCAAUAUUCCCCACUGCUGCCUCCCGUAGGAGUUUGGGCCGUGUCUCAGUCCCAAUGUGGCCGGUCGCCCUCUCAGGCCGGCUACUGAUCGUCGCCUUGGUGAGCCGUUACCCCACCAACAAGCUAAUCAGACGCGGGUCCAUCCUAUACCACCUCAGUUUUUCACACCGAACCAUGCGGUCCUGUGCGCUUAUGCGGUAUUAGCAGUCAUUUCUAACUGUUAUCCCCCUGUAUAGGGCAGGUUACCCACGCGUUACUCACCCGUCCGCCACUCAGUCACAAAAGUCCUCAUCCGAAGAAUCGUUCUCAAGUGCUUCGUUCGACUUGCAUGUGUUAAGCACGCCGCCAGCGUUCAUCCUGAGCCAGGAUCAAACUCU
rnacentral:rRNA from 1 species